AGAGUUUGAUCAUGGCUCAGGAUGAACGCUAGCGGGAGGCUUAACACAUGCAAGUCGAGGGGCAGCAUAGGGUAGCAAUACUCUGAUGGCGACCGGCAAACGGGUGAGUAACGCGUAUGUAACCUACCCUGUACAGGGGGAUAACCCGGAGAAAUUCGGACUAAUAUCCCAUAACAAUAUCCGGGGGCAUCUUUGGAUAUUUAAAGUUCCGGCGGUACGGGAUGGGCAUGCGUAACAUUAGCUAGUUGGUAAGGUAACGGCUUACCAAGGCUUUGAUGUUUAGGGGUCCUGAGAGGGUGGUCCCCCACACUGGUACUGAGACACGGACCAGACUCCUACGGGAGGCAGCAGUGAGGAAUAUUGGUCAAUGGGCGCAAGCCUGAACCAGCCAUCCCGCGUGCAGGAAGACGGCGCUAUGCGUUGUAAACUGCUUUUCCAGGGAGAGAAACUUGCGCACGUGUUGCGCAAUUGACGGUGCCCUGGGAAUAAGCAUCGGCUAACUCCGUGCCAGCAGCCGCGGUAAUACGGAGGAUGCGAGCGUUAUCCGGAUUCAUUGGGUUUAAAGGGUGCGUAGGCGGACUAUUAAGUCAGUGGUGAAAUCCUGCAGCUUAACUGCAGAACUGCCAUUGAUACUGAUAGCCUUGAGUUUGGUUAAGGUAGGCGGAAUGUGUAAUGUAGCGGUGAAAUGCUUAGAUAUUACACAGAACACCAAUUGCGUAGGCAGCUUACUGAGCCGACACUGACGCUGAGGCACGAAAGCGUGGGGAUCGAACAGGAUUAGAUACCCUGGUAGUCCACGCCGUAAACGAUGAUUACUCGCUGUUGGCGAUACACUGUCAGCGGCUAAGCAAAAGCAAUAAGUAAUCCACCUGGGGAGUACGGCCGUAAGGUUGAAACUCAAAGGAAUUGACGG
rnacentral:rRNA from 1 species